UACGGAGGGGGCUAGCGUUGCUCGGAAUCACUGGGCGUAAAGGGUGCGUAGGCGGGUCUUUAAGUCAGGGGUGAAAUCCUGGAGCUCAACUCCAGAACUGCCUUUGAUACUGAGGAUCUUGAGUUCGGGAGAGGUGAGUGGAACUGCGAGUGUAGAGGUGAAAUUCGUAGAUAUUCGCAAGAACACCAGUGGCGAAGGCGGCUCACUGGCCCGGCACUGACGCUGAGGUGCGAAAGCGUGGGGAGCAAACAGG
rnacentral:rRNA from 1 species